rnacentral:lncRNA from 1 species
CGGUAUAAUCUCAUCAAAGAGAUAAUACAUAAAAAUGACGUAAAGAGAAGAGCAAAUUUUCACAUUUAAUAAUAUUGCAGAUCCACUGACAAAGAGUUGUCGUAGUAUAAACAUGAUCGUCAUGUAGACUUAUGAUAUUUGAUACAUAAGUGAUUGGAUCUAGUGCAAGUGGGAGUUUGUAAGUAUUAUGCCCUAGGUCCA